CCCCAAAAAACCCCACAACAUUAACGAAGCAUAAUUACAAAUUCAAAAGCACAACAUUAACAAAGCACUACAACAUUGAAUACGCUGAGUCCUACUUACGUCACCACCAUCUUCCAUCUUGAAAGUGGCAGUGGAGAAAACGUGCUGCAUGGACUAGUUUCAACGGUUUUACAGUACAAAGUGGACCCACUGCCUUUACCUUUCACAGCGAACCAGAAGUGGGCUGAAAGCAAAUUAAUUCAGAGAGCAGUGCGCAUCCCGGGGGAUUUCGUCAGGACAGGUCCAUAAAGAUCAGAGCUGGAGCUGUUUUUCUUCAGACUUCUGUUUUGCAGUUCAUCUCCACAAUGUCUGUGUUUAGAUGCUAAGUCAUAUGGUGAAGAUAUGUUUUUUUUCCUGAAUGUGAAUGAAUCAGGGAUGUAUUUUCUAUUACACUGUUAGAUAAUUUUUAUCAUUCGCUUUAACCUGUGAUGUUUCAGAGGCCCAGUCACCGAACUGCUCCCAGCUUGACCAGCAGACUGAACCCCUGCCUGUGCUCUGUGUUGCCAGUAUAAUAUAAAUUUGUAAUGUACUGCACACUUUUUUUUUCACUUUUUGGGUAUUUUAAGGGAAAUAUCUCAAUUUGAAGUAUUAGGGUAUUAUGACAGUUCAUGUAAAGAAAUUAAAAAUAAUUUAGUCAGAUUUUGUGCACACUGCUGUCUAUAGCACAGUUAACAUAUUAAUAAUUUUUUUUAAAAAGUAAAAAUACGUAGUUAAAGUUUGACAACUAUUAUCAAAGUUUGUCUUUACAAUAAAAUGUCUAAAAAUUUAAAUGAAGUUAUGUUUUUUAUUCAUAUCUUGAAAUGGACAAAUGCACAUUGAAUUAUGGAAUUGUGUUAAUAGUGAGUACAUCACUGUAAAGGUGUGUGUGUGUGUUCAUCAAUAAAAACGAUUUAUCAGAA